rnacentral:rRNA from 1 species
UACGUAGGAGGCGAGCGUUGUCCGGAUUUACUGGGCGUAAAGCGCGCGCAGGCGGCACCGUAAGUAUGGUGUGAAAUCUCCCUGCUCAACGGGGAGGGUGCACUGUAAACUGCGGAGCUAGAGGACGGUAGAGGGGGGUAGAAUUGCUGGUGUAGCGGUGAAAUGCGUAGAGAUCAGCAGGAAUACCCGUGGCGAAGGCGGCCCCCUGGGCCGAACCUGACGCUGAGGCGCGAAGGCUAGGGGAGCGAACGGG